AGAAAAUGUUGACAGAUGAUGUAGUUGGAUGUCAGUCUGCCAGUAGCAACAGUACAGCAACUCACAACACCUCUGCUCAGACUUAAAAGAAAACAUCAUACAUAGUCACUUCUCAGCUAAUUCAAGUGUCCCUCCUCAGCAUUCAUAGCUUCUUUAUCAUCCUCACUGCCAUCCUGUCUGUUUUGUAUGUGGAUCACAGCACCAAGGCUGCAGGGGUUAAGGCACUUCACCUCAGCGUGUGUACUUCUGCCUUCCCUCUGCUCUCCUGCUCCACUGCAGCACAUCUGCUGCUGGCCAGGCCCUCAGAACAGCUGUGGUGUUCUUUUGUGCUGAAGCAAAUACAGAGCCCUCAUACUGUCAGUAUUGAUACUCAGAUGAGGAACAGUAAACAUGAGAAACGAGGAGAGGUUAACUUAAGCUGCACCAACUCAGCUGGCAGUGCACAUACACUACAGGAAAAGAGUUGUCUUUGCCAUGUGAAGGUAAGUUACCACAUGGUUAGCAUAUACCCAAU
ensembl:lncRNA